ACUGACUUUUUUGAACUCCAGCCCACAAGUGACUUCAACCGUUACUGUCAUGCAUCUGACUGCAUGUGUAAGCUGUAGAAACUCUACCGUUAUCAUAUCCAAGUCGGUGUGUUGUGAGGACUGCUGCCCUGAGAACGCUGAGUGCAUUCUGGAAUAUUCCAAAUGUGUGCCACUUCCAUACUGAAGAAGUUCUAAGCCCGCAAGAGAGUUCACUCACCAGUGGGCUCCAUCAACUAUCCAGGGCAAUGUCAGUCCGUCUGGAUGGCACUACCUGCUACUUGAUGAUGUCUAAAAAGCCAUGGCUGCUGCCUUCAAAAUGGUAGCCCUCACAAGUAAACUGAUAUCAAGACUUACAUAGAUGGUGAUGGUGGUGAGGGUGCCUUCAGAAGGUGCUAUCCAGCAGUCCCAGCCUGGAGCCAGAAGCUGCUAUUGCAAGUCAGAUGGGGGAGGAAAGGUGGUGUAGGCAAGAAGGCAAGAGCUGCUGCAGGCAAUGUUGCAAUUAGAUGCUGUCUUCAGCGAACACAAAACCACCCUGACCUGAUUAAUGGACACCAUGGGAAGUUAUUUGAAGUAUGCACCGGAAAGGGUGGGUGGUGGUGGUCGUCGGAAGACACUCCCUGCUGUUGCUGAAUGAUGCCAUCGGUUUACAUGCACAGCCUCUCGCACCACAUACACCUGAGUUUGGA